rnacentral:rRNA from 1 species
UGCAGAGGGUGCAAGCGUUGUUCGGAAUUAUUGGGCGUAAAGCGCGUGUAGGCGGCUUUGCAAGUCGGGUGUGAAAGCCCUCAGCUCAACUGAGGAAGUGCGCCCGAAACUGCAGAGCUUGAGUACCGGAGAGGAUGGCGGAAUUCCCCAAGUAGAGGUGAAAUUCGUAGAUAUGGGGAGGAACACCGGUGGCGAAGGCGGCCAUCUGGACGGAUACUGACGCUGAGACGCGAAAGCGUGGGUAGCAAACAGG